rnacentral:lncRNA from 1 species
GAGGGAUGUCCCAUUGGGAAGCAGUUAUCGGCCCUCCUCGACGAUCCUCAGGUAAGUAUUAUACAUUUGUGAUUUAUAUUAUACGUAAUUUAAAAUUUUGUUUACAUGAUCGUUAAGUAGUUGAAAUGUCAAUAUGUCAGCUUGAAGUCAUACCUGAGUUGACACCAUCGAUGGAAGAGGAGGCUCGGGGUCUUGUGCGAGAUUUAGGCGUUCCGCACACCCCAGACGAGGAGAUGUCCGAUCCGAGCUUGGAUCGAGAUUGGGUAUGUGAAUGAAAUAAAAUUUAUUGAAUAUCAUCGACGUAUAAAUUUAAUAAAUAAUUUUUCAU